GACGAACGUUGGCGGCGUGCUUAAUACAUGCAAGUCAACUGAAGCAGAGGUAGUAAUAUCUCUGUGGAGGUGGCGCACGGGUGAGUAACACGUAGGUAAUCUGCCUUCAGGUCUGACAUAACCCCGAGAAAUCGGGGCUAAUAGCAGAUGAUGCAGCGGCUUGACAUCAAGACAGUUGUUAAAGCUUCGGCGCCUGAAGAUGAGCCUGCGCUGAUUAGCUAGUUGGCGGAGUAACAGCCCACCAAGGCUACGAUCAGUAGCUGGUCUGAGAGGAUGAUCAGCCACACUGGAACUGAGACACGGUCCAGACUCCUACGGGA
rnacentral:rRNA from 1 species